rnacentral:rRNA from 1 species
AUUGAACGCUGGCGGCAUGCUUUACACAUGCAAGUCGAACGGCAGAGCGGGCUUCGGCCUGGCGGCGAGUGGCGAACGGGUGAGUAAUACAUCGGAACGUGCCCAGUAGUGGGGGAUAGCUCGGCGAAAGCCGGAUUAAUACCGCAUACGACCUGAGGGUGAAAGCGGGGGAUCUUCGGACCUCGCGCUAUUGGAGCGGCCGAUGGCAGAUUAGCUAGUUGGUGGGGUAAAGGCCUACCAAGGCGACGAUCUGUAGCUGGUCUGAGAGGACGACCAGCCACACUGGGACUGAGACACGGCCCAGACUCCUACGGGAGGCAGCAGUGGGGAAUUUUGGACAAUGGGCGAAAGCCUGAUCCAGCAAUGCCGCGUGUGGGAUGAAGGCCUUCGGGUUGUAAAGCACUUUUGGCGGGAACGAAAAGGACUGUGCCAAUACCACGGUUCGAUGACGGUACCCGCAGAAUAAGCACCGGCUAACUACGUG